UAGGGAAUCUUCCGCAAUGGACGCAAGUCUGACGGAGCAACGCCGCGUGAGUGAAGAAGGAUUUCGGUUCGUAAAACUCUGUUGUUAGAGAAGAACAGCGCAUAGAGUAACUGUUAUGCGUGUGACGGUAUCUAACCAGAAAGCCACGGCUAACUACGUGCCAGCAGCCGCGGUAAUACGUAGGUGGCAAGCGUUGUCCGGAUUUAUUGGGCGUAAAGCGAGCGCAGGCGGUCAAUUAAGUCUGAUGUGAAAGCCCCCGGCUCAACCGGGGAGGGUCAUUGGAAACUGGUUGACUUGAGUGCAGAAGAGGAGAGUGGAAUUCCAUGUGUAGCGGUGAAAUGCGUAGAAAUAUGGAGGAAAACCAGUGGCGAAGGCGACUCUCUGGUCUGUAACUGACGCUGAGGUUCGAAAGCGUGGGUAGCAAACAGG
rnacentral:rRNA from 1 species